UAAGACGUAGGGGGCAAGCGUUGUCCGGAUUUAUUGGGCGUAAAGCGCGCGCAGGCGGCCGGCAAAGUCGGAUGUGAAAAUCCGGGGCUCAACCCCGGACCUGCAUCCGAUACUGGUCGGCUAGAGGCAGGUAGGGGAGAUCGGAAUUCCUGGUGUAGCGGUGAAAUGCGCAGAUAUCAGGAGGAACACCGGUGGCGAAGGCGGAUCUCUGGGCCUGUUCUGACGCUCAGGCGCGAAAGCUAGGGGAGCGAACAGGAUUAGAUACCCUGGUAGUCCUAGCCGUAAACGAUGGGUGCUAGGUGUGGGGGGUAUUGACCCCCUCCGUGCCGCAGCUAACGCAUUAAGCACCCCGCCUGGGGAGUACGGCCGCAAGGCUA
rnacentral:rRNA from 1 species